CGUGUAGGCGGCUCAUCAAGUCUGGUGUGAAAAUGCAGGGCUUAACCCUGCAGAUGCGCUGGAAACUGGUGGGCUUGAGUUCCUGGGGGGAAGCUGGAAUUCCAGGUGUAGGAGUGAAAUCUGUAGAUAUCUGGAAGAACACCGGUGGCGAAGGCGAGCUUCUAUCAGAGGACUGACGCUGAGGCGCGAAAGCGUGGGGAGCAAACAG
rnacentral:rRNA from 1 species